UGAGGAAUAUUGGUCAAUGGGCGCAAGCCUGAACCAGCCAUGCCGCGUGCAGGAUGACGGUCNUAUGGAUUGUAAACUGCUUUUGCACAGGAAGAAACACUCCGACGUGUCGGAGCUUGACGGUACUGUGAGAAUAAGGAUCGGCUAACUCCGUG
rnacentral:rRNA from 1 species